CGUGACGUCUUCAACGUUUAUUCAUGGUUGUCUACGGUUUAAAAUGGAAUUUAGAAUUAAAUUGUAAGAAAUGACUGUAAUAUUUUUUCUGUCUAUUUGAUAUAACAUAAAAAAUGUGGUGCACACUGCUAAAUAACCCGCUAAGCACGUUAUUCAGUGUGCACCACAUUUUUUAUGUUAUUUCUUCAUAGACAGAAAAAAUAUUACAG
rnacentral:lncRNA from 1 species